rnacentral:lncRNA from 1 species
GAGGAUCAAAACCUCGUAGUUCAUGGUAAAAAUAAAAAAGAUUUUUAUUUUUAUUCAUUUUUAAUGAAAAUAUAUUUUGUCAUUUUAAGGAGAAUACUCAAUUAACCACCCACAAGUAUGAGAACUUUGCAUCACCACUGAGAAUGACUUCAACUUGGAUAAAGAUCAACAAGUAUGCCACUAGCUCUCUUAUAUGGAAAAUAAUUAUCAUCAAUACUAUGGGGAUAUGAGAAUUAUAUCUCAACUAUGGAAAUGACUCAUGUCUAAACCUUGAGAAAAAGUUU